UUGAAAGGGAACGAUUGAAGUCAGUCGUACCAGCGGGAAUCAACCUUUCGAGUGGUGUUUUGGAGUUUUGAAGUGUGUCAAAACCUUUGAGAUUUUAAACUUUUCGCUCUUUUGGUGUACUUUCUCGUGGGUAGGUUAACAUCGAUUUUGAUCAUCAUAAAAAGGAUUGGAGGAAUGUAGCUUCGAUCUUGUAUUGAAGUGUUAUAGCCUUUGGUAAAUGUGAUGAUUGGGAUCGAGGAUUGCAACGAAUACCCUUUUGGGCUAUCCGCCUGAUCUCUGAUACGUGGCCUUGGCAUCGAAAGCUUGCUUAUGGUAUCAAGGUAUUACGGUCAAAAGGUUAGAACGGAUUACAUUCGUUAAGGAUGUUGACGUA
rnacentral:rRNA from 1 species